CUUGUGAAGAUUGGAAAGAAUCACUGAAAACAGUUAAUAAAAAACAUCAAUUGUUUAAAUCUGAUGGAGAUACAUUAGAAGCUUUUAAACAAAUGGUACUUAGUCCCAAGUAAGCCGUCUAGAAUGUAUCCCAACGCCUCAGACAGAUGUUUAACAUACAGGGGAGAUUUCCUCCAUAUACAGGGCCGUCUUUAACACGGGGCAAACGGGGCAGCUGCCCCGGGCCCUGUCCGUGCUCGGGGGGCCCAAGACAGCUGCUCCUUUUGCCCUCUGCCUGCAAACUAUGGGAGCCCAUCGGGUGGCCCAUGCUCUUAGGGCCACCCGGUGGGCCUGUGUCAGCAGGGGCCCGGUCGGGC